CAGUGAAAUUGUUGGUAUCCAUGUAAAGCUCGACAAGAUUGACAAGGUUUCCCAUUUCGGGAGGAAUGGGACCAGAAAGAUCAUUCUCAUAGAGAUAUAGACGAGCCAAGUUUCUCAAAUUUCCUAAAGAAGCGGGAAUGGGUCCA